CAGUACCCUCCCCAGUUCCUCUAUCAUUUAAUACAGCACCCAGUGAGGUUUUUGGAGAUGAGAGUUUGGGGAGAGAGAAGGGGGCCUAUGCCUUUGCUGUUUACUAUUGGAAUUCCCCGGAAGGACUCUCAGUUUACGCUUCACCAGUAAGUAGUGUCAGUCAGGAGACAUUCUGCAGAAAGAAAACCAGGUCUCCGAGAACUCAUUCUGCUCAACAGCAGUGUUUCGACUCAGAACUCCGAGGCUGGAACUGUAUCCUGCCAGGCUCCUCUAUCCAAGGAAUUUUCCAGGCAAGAAUACUAGAGUGGGUCACCAUUUCCUUCUCCUGACCCAGAGAUCAAACCUGAAUCUCUUGCAUCAGCUGCAUUGACAGGUGGAUUCUUUACCUGCUGAGCCAAAUGAACAAGAAAAACUUGAAGACUCAAUAGAUGAAUGGCAAAAGAUCAUGAAGAAGAAAUGCAUUCACAGAGAUGAAAUACUAAUGAGUAAUAAAGUUAUAAAAAUAUUCAAGUUGUUUAGUAAUCAUAUA